AGGACACCCUGGAGGGAUCAAAGUGAAAAUGAAAAGGCAAAAAACAAUACAACAAUUUUUCCACUCAAAGGCCUCAAAAACUAACCAAGGUGAAGAACACAUUAAGAACCAAGAAUAUAUCAACAUGUCAUCUAAAAGGUUCAACUGGUAUAUCUACAUCCGACCAGCCCGAAGCACAAAUACAGCUACCUACUGAAGAAACAGUGUCUCCAAAACGUAAAGGCAGUUCCUGAUCUUUGUUGGUCAAAGUGUUCCCAUUUAUUAAAGUUACAAAAGAUGGCUACUGGUGCACCUUUUGCAAAAAAGCUUUCGAAGAAGGAAAGCUUCCCAGUGCUAUAAC